AUUGAACGCUGGCGGCAGGCCUAACACAUGCAAGUCGAGCGAGCGGCGGACGGGUGAGUAAUGUCUGGGGACUGCCCGAUAGAGGGGGAUAACUACUGGAAACGGUAGCUAAUACCGCAUACUAUCGGAUAACCCAUAUGGGAUUAGCUAGUAGGUGGGGUAAUGGCUCACCUAGGCGACGAUCCCUAGCUGGUCUGAGAGGAUGAUCAGCCAAACUGGAACGGAGACACGGCCCAGACUCCUACGGAGGCAGCAGUGGGGAAGAUUGCACAAUGGGCGCAAGCCUGAUGCAGCCAUGCAGCGUGUAUGAAGAAGGCCUUAGGGUUGUAAAGUACUUUCAGUCGGGAGGCGUUACCGGCAGAAGAAGCACCGGCUAACUCCGUGCCAGCAGCCGCGGUAAUUC
rnacentral:rRNA from 1 species